UGGAGAGUGAUGGUUCAAAAAGAAAAGGAAGCGCUUAGGGCAGUGAAUCACAUUUUGCCCAGGAAAACACACUUGAUAAUUGAAGGAUGAUGAAGUGUCCACAGGCUUCAUUACUGAUCUUUUGGCUUCAACUGAGCUGGGUGAGCAGUGAAGACAAGGUGGUACAAAGCCCUCCAUCUCUGGUUGUCCAUGAGGAAGACAGUGUAACUCUCAACUGCAGUUAUGAAGCAGCUAACUUUCGAAGCCUACUAUGGUACAAGCAGGAAAAGAAAGCUCCCACAUUUCUAUUUAUACUAACUUCAAGUGGAAUUGAAAAGAAGUCUGGAAGCUUAAGUAGCAUAUUAGAUAAAACAGAACAUUUCAGCAUCCUGAACAUCACAGCCACGCAGACCAGAGACUCGGCCACCUACCUCUGUGCUGGUGGAGGGGAUUACAAAAUCAUCUUUGGAAAAGGGACACGACUUCGUAUUCUCCCCAAUAUCCAGAACCCUGACCCUGCCGUGUACCAGCUGAGAGACUCUAAAUCCAGCAACUCCUCUGUCUGCCUAUUCACUGAUUUUGAUUCUAAAAUGAAUGUGUCAGAAAGUAAGGAGUCUGAAGUGUACAUCACAGACAAAACUGUGCUAGACAUGAAGUCUAUGGACUCCAAGAGCAACGGUGCCGUGGCCUGGAGCAGCAAUUCCAAUUUUAAAUGCACAGACGCCUUCAACGGCAGCUCUCUUCCAGCAAACACCUUCUUCUCCGGCUCAGAAAGUCUCUGCGAUGCCAGCCUUGUUGAGAAAAGCUUUGAAACGGAUAUGAACCUAAACUUUCAAAACCUGUCAGUGAUUGGGUUCCGAAUCCUCCUCCUGAAAGUGGCCGGCUUUAAUCUGCUCAUGACGCUGCGGCUGUGGUCCAGCUGAGGUCCAAAAGAUUAUAAGAGAGCCUGUGCUCCCUUGCACCUUCAUCCGCACCACCCCUCCUCUCCCUCUCCAAAGGGGACGCUCCCACCCCCACGGAGGAGAAAGCUGCUACCACCUCUGUGCGCUCCCCUCCCCCGCACAAUGCCACCAACUGGAUCCUACCCGAAUUUGUGACGAAGAUUGCUGAAGAGCUGCCAAACACUGCUGCCACCCCAUUCCCUUAUUGCUGCUUGUCACUGCCUGACAUGCAUGGCAGAGGCAAGGCUGCGGCAGCCUCACCUGGCUGUGCAGAUCCCCUCCCGCUCCCCAGAGACUGCCUCCACCAUCCCACAGAUGAUGGAUCCUCAGUGGGUUCUCUUGGGCUCUAGGUCCUAGAGAAUGUUGUGAGGGGGUUAUAAUUUUUUAAAUAGUGUUCAUAAAGAAAUACAUAUUACUCUCAAGAUGUGGGGGAAAUUAAUCUCAUUAUCGAGGCCCUGCUAUGCUGUGUAUCUGGGCAUGUUGUAUAUCUUGCCGCCCCAUGGCUUCAUUAAAAAUGACUUGGAAGAGCAGA